UAGAGUUUGAUCCUGGCUCAGGAUGAACGCUAGCGACAGGCCUAACACAUGCAAGUCGAGGGGCAUCGGGGCGAGGAGCAAUCCUUGCCGCCGGCGACCGGCGCACGGGUGAGUAACGCGUAUGCGACCUGCCCGUUGCAGGGGGAUAAUCGGGAGAAAUCCCGUCUAAUACCGCGUAAUGCCGCGGGGCUGCAUGGCCCUGCGGCCAAAGGGAGCGAUUCCGGCAACGGAUGGGCAUGCGUGACAUUAGCUAGUUGGCGGGGCAACGGCCCACCAAGGCGACGAUGUCUAGGGGUUCUGAGAGGAAGGUCCCCCACACUGGUACUGAGACACGGACCAGACUCCUACGGGAGGCAGCAGUGAGGAAUAUUGGUCAAUGGGCGCGAGCCUGAGCCAGCCAAGUCGCGUGAGGGAUGACGGCCCUACGGGUUGUAAACCUCUUUUGUCGGGGAGCAAAUUCCGCCACGUGUGGCGGAGUCGAGAGUACCCGAAGAAAAAGCAUCGGCUAACUCCGUGCCAGCAGCCGCGGUAAUACGGAGGAUGCGAGCGUUAUCCGGAUUUAUUGGGUUUAAAGGGUGCGUAGGCGGGAUGCCAAGUCAGCGGUAAAAAAGCGGUGCUCAACGCCGUCGAGCCGUUGAAACUGGCGUUCUUGAGUGGGCGAGAAGUAUGCGGAAUGCGUGGUGUAGCGGUGAAAUGCAUAGAUAUCACGCAGAACUCCGAUUGCGAAGGCAGCAUACCGGCGCCCUACUGACGCUGAGGCACGAAAGCGUGGGUAUCGAACAGGAUUAGAUACCCUGGUAGUCCACGCAGUAAACGAUGAAUGCUAACUGUCCGGUGCGAGUGAGCGCUGGGCGGUACAGCGAAAGCGUUAAGCAUUCCACCUGGGGAGUACGCCGGCAACGGUGAAACUCAAAGGAAUUGACGGGGGCCCGCACAAGCGGAGGAACAUGUGGUUUAAUUCGAUGAUACGCGAGGAACCUUACCCGGGCUCAAACGCAGGCUGACGGGUCCCGAAAGGGGCCUUUCUUCGGACAUUCUGCGAGGUGCUGCAUGGUUGUCGUCAGCUCGUGCCGUGAGGUGUCGGCUUAAGUGCCAUAACGAGCGCAACCCCUGCCGACAGUUGCUAACGCGUUGAGGCGAGGACUCUGUCGGGACUGCCGGCGCAAGCCGCGAGGAAGGCGGGGAUGACGUCAAAUCAGCACGGCCCUUACGUCCGGGGCGACACACGUGUUACAAUGGGGGGUACAGCGGGAAGCCAGGCGGCGACGCCGAGCGGAACCCGAAAGCCUCUCUCAGUUCGGAUCGGAGUCUGCAACCCGACUCCGUGAAGCUGGAUUCGCUAGUAAUCGCGCAUCAGCCACGGCGCGGUGAAUACGUUCCCGGGCCUUGUACACACCGCCCGUCAAGCCAUGGGAGCCGGGGGUGCCUGAAGGCCGUGACCGCGAGGAGCGGCCUAGGGUAAAACUGGUGACUGGGGCUAAGUCGUAACAAGGUAACCGUA
rnacentral:rRNA from 1 species